CUAACCGUGCGAAGGUAGCAUAAUCACUUGUUCUUUAAAUGAGGACUAGUAUCAACGGCAUCACGAGGAUCCUACUGUCUCCCCCCUCCAGUCAGUGAAACUGAUCUCUCCGUGAAGAAGCGGAGAUACGCAUAUAAGACGAGAAGACCCCAUGGAGCUUUAAACCCAACAACACCCGCCUCCCUUAAACCCUAUUAUCAGCCCGGCGAUUGUUUGCUUGGUUUUAGGUUGGGGUGACCACGGAGUAUAAAACAUCCUCCAUGAAAAAAAGCUAACUGCCCUUAUUAGAGAAAGACAUUUCCAAAAAAUAACAAAUUAAUUUUUAAUGACCCGAUAUUCGAUCAACGAACCAAGUUACCCUGGGGAUAACAGCGCAAUCCGCCCCGAGAGCCCCUAUCGACAGGCGGGUUUACGACCUCGAUGUUGGAUCAGGGUAUCCUAGUGGUGCAGCAGCUACUAACGGUUCGUUUGUUCAACGAUUAAAACCCUACGUGAUCU
rnacentral:rRNA from 1 species